CUUCAGCAUUCUAUGAAGUGCUGGUUUAUUUUUAAAGUUACUUCAACAUAAAAAUAGUCAUUUAAUUAGAAUAUAUUUGGUACAAAUUAAUGCAGGCAUCUGAAAAGGAAGGUGCCAAAUGUGAUUCAACCAUUCCUUCAAAAAAGCCAAAGCCUUCAAAAAUGCUCGAAGCAUCUUCAGAACAUCAGGGCAGUUGAGUAUUUUUCAAUUAAGUUGCAUGAAUACCUCUCCAUUUUCCUAUCCCUGUUUAACUGAUAAAUCAACUUGCUUAUAAUUAAGCAGGAUUUCUAAAGGUACACUAUCCCAAAUCCAUUUUAAUAUUGUAAAGAACUCAUACCCCAUGUGCAUUGUCAUUUGGAAUAAUGAAUACGUUGCUAUGGUAAACUCUUGCCUUCUGCAAGACAUGAGCUUUUGUUCCAGUAUUUAAUAUAUAGGAUUAAAAAAACGCUUUAUACAGAAAUCUAAAUGCAAAAUGGCUGAAUACAGAGAGAAGGGAAAGUUCCUACCUAGACCUUAAGGCCAUUAACAACAGUACAACAUGCUCUGAUGAUAAUUGAAAGGAACUAAAACUCUGCUGUGUACAAACUAGAGAUAACUCUCACAGAUGCUCACCAUGUGCAGAAUGUUCUCAAAUAUAUGCUUCCUCUGUGUCUCAGCAAUUUGUUUUUAGUUUCAACAGCUCUCUGUAUCAGAUGUGGAUGGUUUCAUUGAGAUUGGGGAGCUCUUUUUAAAAUUUUCAAAUGAAUGAACUGAUGAAUGGAAGCCACCAGAUUCACAAACUUGCCUUUGUGUACACCAGCUAGAUUCUACCAGAUUUCCAGAUGUGGAUUUUGCACCGUGUGAAAGAUCAAACAAAAGCACGAAAAUUAACAGGCUCAACUGAGGAUUCCUCCUUCCUUGUGGGUACAUGCUUUUGGAAUGGAUUUGCCUUGGCGCUCUGCCAAACCCUGACUCCAGUAAGUUCAGGCACAUACGUUGCAAGAUCUGCCAGUGGAGAUGCAAGCUAACAAACCAUUUUAGCCAUUCUGGAUCUUGAAGCAAAGUUCCAUAGGGCUCCAUG